rnacentral:rRNA from 1 species
GAUGAACGUUGGCGGCGUGCCUAAUACAUGCAAGUCGAACGAAGACUGUAGUAAUACUGUCUUAGUGGCGAACGGGUGAGUAACGCGUGGGUGACCUGCCCCGAAGUGUGGGAUAACAGUUCGAAAGGAUUGCUAAUACUGCAUAAUAUCCAAGAGAUUAGACGCUUUUGGAUUAAAGGAGUAAUUCGCUUCGGGAGGGGCCCGCGUCCCAUCAGCUAGUUGGUAAGGUAAUGGCUUACCAAGGCGAUGACGGGUAGGGGACCUGAGAGGGUGGCCCCCCCACAAUGGAACUGAAACACGGUCCAUACACCUACGGGUGGCAGCAGUAGGGAAUAUUAGUAAUGGGCGAAAGCCUGAACUAGCAACGCCGCGUGUGCGAAGAAGGCCUUCGGGUCGUAAGCACUUUUGAGUAGGAUGAGGAAGGACGGUACUCUCAGAAUAAGUCUGGCUAACUACGUG